rnacentral:rRNA from 1 species
UACAGAGGUGGCAAGCGUUGUUCGGAAUUACUGGGCGUAAAGGGCUCGUAGGCGGCCAACUAAGUCAGUUGUGAAAUCCCCAGGCUCAACCUGGGAACUGCGUCUGAUACUGGUUGGCUUGAAUCCGGGAGAGGGAUGCAGAAUUCCAGGUGUAGCGGUGAAAUGCGUAGAUAUCUGGAGGAAUACCGGUGGCGAAGGCGGCAUCCUGGACCGGCAUUGACGCUGAGGAGCGAAAGCCAGGGGAGCAAACGGG